rnacentral:lncRNA from 1 species
UGAUGCUAGAUUAUGAGGGAGUUUCACCUAAUAGUUACAACCUUAUAAUCACAAGUAGUGAAGAUCGCUUGAAAACGAUCACGUUGAAUGAAUUCUUCUUAGCAUAAGUUUCAUGCAAUUCAUAGUAACAAAUGCUUCGUCAAUGCUUAUGUUUUUUCAUAGAACGUAAUGAUUCUUGCUUGUAUCUCUAUUAUGCAAUUCAUGUAGGGAACUUGUAGGGAAUGUUUUGGGUUGUCGUAUGCAAUCAUCCAACUUGAUAAAUUCUGGAAAAACUGAGGGUUAAUUAGUGCAAUUCACGGUUAAUUCGGGGCAUUGAGUCUUUAUAAUUUAUUGGAAGAACAACUGAAAAUCGUUUGUUUGCAAGUGUGACAUGUGUGGAGAAGAACCUCCUAACUAGCCUUUUAUCCAUCUAUUUCACCAAAAUCGUUUUUACAAUCUGUUUAGUUUCAAGUUUCUGUUUUGUGUUAAAUUUUCGUCCAAAACAAAUCUCCCUUUAAUUUGAAGUCUUAGAUUAGUUAGAAAGUGUUUUGAUUUGUGUUUCUAAGUAUUUUGAUUCAAGUUUUCAUCAAAUUUCGUCCAAAUUAGUGUAGGUGCUCAAAACUGCCCAGAAAGUGGUUUUUAGGCAGUGUUGAGCCUUCUAGUUGCUGUUUUGAGUUUUAGGUUUGUUUAAGUGUUUUAACCUUUACUUUUGCAUUCUUUG